rnacentral:lncRNA from 1 species
UGUGAGACGCCGGUGAACGCCAGUAAAACCGUGCCUUCCGGCAUUUACCUUGUUGUCUAGCAACCACUGAGCAUAAUAAUGACUCCGGGUGUGUCAUACAGACGUCGCUCUCUCUCCACCAGGUGGGGUGCCUACCUGUCUGACUGUGCAGAUUUCACGUCAUCUCCUGUGAUGCAUCAGCCUAAACCGGAGGACAUCCAGUGCCAACCGAGAAAAAAUAAACAUCAGUCAAAAAGCAUCCAUUCCACAGUAUCAGUGCAUUUGAACACAAAAUCCGAGUUUGGAUGGAAACCAUGGUAAUGACUUGUUACCACAGCAGUGACUCGCCGCCAC